GCGCCCAUAGCUCAGUUGGUAGAGCAAUCGCCUCUUAAGCGAAAGGUCGUUGGUUCGAACCCAACUGGGCGCA
rnacentral:tRNA from 1 species